UCCCCAUUUUUGCUUCUUUAAUUAGGUAAAUUUUCUUCUUCCACUUCUUUCUUCCAAUUUUGUUUAUCAUAAUCUACCGUUAUCUUUGUAUGAAAAGUUGUUCUUCUGUGAUAGAAUGUCCAAGAAUUUUGUUUCCUCUCAAAGCUUAACCCAAUCGAGUAGAUGUAAUUGCGGACAGGUUACGAGUCAGUUACGGCCAAAACUCCCAUUAAUUUAUGGAGUUGCAUCUUGUGGCUAUUGGUAAUGGUGCGACGAAGAAUUUUCACCCCAUGUGGCAUUGAGGAUCAAUAAUUUGAGAGUUUAAUUGGAUGUUCGCCAUGAAAGAAAUAAUUUGAAGAAAACGGUGACUGAAAUGAUGGCGAAUUGUAUAUAUUGGAGAAGAAAGUGCAGAGAAUGAAGAUUUUUUUGCUAUUGUCGUGGUGUAUAUUUGUUGGUUUUGUAGCAGCUAACGUGAUAUAAUGGUGAUUAGUAGCUAUGUAAUAUCCAGAUUUAAAGCUAUGUAAAAGUACAGAUUUAAAGCUAUAAUUUUCAUGUAAUACUGGAUAUUUGAAGCUAAGUAGUUAGUAUGUCAAUUGAGGUAUCUUAAAAUACAAGAGGACUGUAUCAAUUUGUUUUUUACCAAGGUGUUUUGGUAUGGAGACAUUUUUGUGCAAUGUGAAACUAAAAAAUGGUUGUGUAA